GAGAGUUGGCAGAGUGGUCGAAUGCGAUGGUCUUGAAAACCAUUGUGCGGCAACGUACCGGGGGUUCGAAUCCCUCACUCUCC
rnacentral:tRNA from 1 species